GGAAAAUUCACAGCUCCGUGGUUGGAACACCCAAAUCACUAAUCCACCAUCUGAUCACAAGCAACAUGGAUGUGCUUGAAAUGCUUAUGUGUGAAGGGCUGAUGCUGUGAUCUACCAAGAAAAAUACACUCCCUUGGUAUUGGAAGAAGAAAAGGAGUAAGUGAUCCAAAGUGAGGCUGGACAACCGGUGUUUGGACACCAAUAUCCAAGGUUCAUAGGUGUUAGAUUACAAACAUGCUCUACCACGCCUCCUUCACACAGGAUUUCUUGAUGCGGCAUUUUUGAAAACUCUCCUGGACAUAAGGACAUAAAGGCAUUUCUCUAUAGCACCUUCUACCUGGCUUAAGUAUUUUUCUCUUUUUAGGACAAACCAAUAUUAGUCUUCAAAAACCAUUGUCAUUUAUUUAAUUAAUUUUGUGGUGUUGGGCAUGAGAUCUAGAGCUUCAUGAGGUCCUAUGUCACUGAACUACAUCAUCAGAUAAAAUAAUUGUUUACAAUAUGACAAAAAUUAGUAAAUAUCUAACUUCUCUGAAUGCUCAAAGGAAGCAACAAACAAUCACCACAUUAUUAGAAAAUAGAAAUACAUUUUCA